rnacentral:rRNA from 1 species
UACGUAGGGCGCAAGCGUUGUCCGGAAUUAUUGGGCGUAAAGAGCUCGUAGGCGGUCUGUCGCGUCGGCUGUGAAAACCCGGAGCUCAACUCCGGGCCUGCAGUCGAUACGGGCAGACUGGAGUUCGGCAGGGGAGACUGGAGUUCCUGGUGUAGCGGUGAAAUGCGCAGAUAUCAGGAGGAACACCGGUGGCGAAGGCGGGUCUCUGGGCCGAUACUGACGCUGAGGAGCGAAAGCGUGGGGAGCGAACAGG